UUUCGCCAUUGAACAUUGCUGGUAAGGGGGCACCUGGCACCUACCCCGGUUACCAUGGGAACAUUUGGAUUGGCUCGAGCGGCUCGCUCCGAAAAAGAACAGGCAGCGGAACGGCAGUGACGUGUAGAAAACGAAAUCAAUGACUCGAUGUGACGUCACUUCUAUUUAUAGAGCCUGCAUUUUAAGAUCUCUCCCUAUCUAUCUAUCCAUCCAUCCAUCCAUCAUCCAUCCAUCCUGAAUAUUCCUCUCUCUGGGCCUAUUGAUAGCAGAUAUUGAUGAAUUACAGUUUCCCUUGGAAUUACUAUUAAUCUUCUCAUCAUUCCUAUCACCCAUCUCCUCCCACUUAUAACUAUAUGACUGUAACCUUGUUGCUGGUAUCCUUAAGAUUUAUAUUGACUGUUUCCCUAUGACUAAGUGUUGUACUUUAUGAUUCUUGACGAAUGUAUCUUAUUUUAUGUACACCCAGAGCGUAUGCACCAAGACAAAUUGUGUGUCCAAUCACACUUGGCCAAUAAAAAAUUCUAUUCUAUUCUA